CCUGAGAAAGAAAAAAAGAGCAGAAUCACAGUAAGCAAUGAGCCAUGCUCCAGCCUCCCCAUGCCACUUGGGUACCCAUGGGUCUCUGGUAGCAGAAACAGCUGGCUGCUAUUUUUGUUCCCUGGGCUGAAAAUGUUGAAGAUUCCCUGGAUCACCUGUAGCAGAGGAUGCAGGUUAACGGGUUGGGAGACAGAGCCCCAGUCCCAGGAUCCUGACAAGGUGGGGGACAAUCCUUGAGUAGAUCCAGCCUUUGGCACUUGCUGUCCAUCAGCAGGGGCUGGGAGGCCAGCUGUGCAGCUGUGCUCCUGCCUCUGACUGUAGGUGCACAGCCCGGGGGAGGGUGAAGAGGCUCAAAGGAGAGCGCUUACUAGGGGGUGGGGAGAGGGGCAUCUUCUAUCUUGGAAAAGAGGCCAGACCAGGUGAAAAAGGGUCAAGAGGAGGCAGUGGAAGGAGACAGUUGCAUUUGAUUUCUUGAAUGACAGAACUGGGCUUGUGGGAGGAAAUGCGAUCUCUUUUCUCUCAGUAGGGAUAACAGAUGAAGUGCCUGGGGUUCCUGCUACUCCUGGUUCCCAUGGAGGUGGAGAAGAGGCAGGAGGCCACCUUGGAUCUGGAAGAUACUUCUGGGGCUUGUGGGCAUCUCAGUUUGGCAAAGGGGGCUGACUGAGCCCAACCCCUUCAGAGGAGAGGAGGACUAAAGGAGAUGUCCCCAUGAAGGAGGGUCAAGUGGAGGACGAGGAGCUCACAAAGGAGACAGAAAGGACGUCAGAGGGGCAGGCAAGACAUCUGGAGAACAUGGCACUCCCCUUGCCCUUUCCUGCCUGGCUGAGGACAGAGGAGCCCAAAGACAAUGUGUGAAAAGGACAAACACAAAUGCCAGAUAUUCUCUAGUGGACUAACACGAUAGGAACAGCAGAGGAGGAUGGAUUUGGCAACAAAAAAGUCACCGGUGACUCUGGAGAGGGUGUGGGUAGAAAACCGCCUGCAAUGAGCUAAUGGGUGGAAGGGAAGACAGUGAAUGCAGACAUCAUUUUUCAAGAAGUGUGGCUGUGAUGAGAGGAAAGAGGCUGGGGAGGGGUUGAGAGAGAGGUAACAGGCUCAAGGAGCAGUUUGCUUCCAAAAAAGAGAAUGGUGGACACAAUGAAAUGUGGACGGGAACAGCAUGGAGGAGAGGCUAAGCUAGACCAGGAGCCUGCUGCUGGGCUGAGGGGUCAAGAAAGUACCGCACAGGCCUUAGGCGGGAAAAGGGUGACUCUCAUGACAAGGAAGAAAGUAUGUUUGCAGGUGGGAAUGGCAAAACAGUGGGAGAAUCCCUGUAUAAUGGCUUUUUUCCUCAUUGAAAUAAAAAGUGAGGCUAUUUGCCAAAAAAUAAGGUGUGGGCUCGGAAGGCCUAGCGGUUUGAGAAGACUGGAGGCCUGACAGAAGGACUGUGGGGAAUGGACGUGCUAAGGUACAGGAAGCCCAGGGAACCAUGAGAGGCCCGCCUGGCGACACGGGAACUCGGCAAUCGGGAGCCCACGUGGCUGGCUGCCACAGAUUCACUCAUGUGCUUUUCUUGAGCUGUAGAAAGGGAGAGCCAGGCUGGGGUGGAACCCAGGGCUGCAGUGUUUCUGAGUGGGUCUGAAGGAAAGACAGCGGGACAAGGAAUUGAGUACUGGUGAGUGAGUGAGUGAGUGAUGGGUCAAUUUGCCUGCCCUCCUACCAAUACUUAGCAAUGCUUACUCCAUUCAAGUGAGUGAGAAACGGAUUGACCUGGGAAGAAGAGAACGGGGCAGGAGAGUCUUCAGUGGAUGUGGAGGAGUGGCAGGAGGUCACAGAUGACAGAGCCAGGGGUGCAGUUUUUAAGAAGCAGGGUGUCUCUCUGCUCCCUUCUCCCACUGUCAGCCCAUGACUCUCUCACCUUCGUGUAGACAGAAGACACAAAGACAAGGUGAGAGUGUCACGGGCUGGCAGUGGGAGAAGGGAGCAGAGAGACACUGAGCUCUUUCCAUUUCCUGAGGCGGGAGAGAAGGAGCAGCUGGGCUUUGGUGGAGAGCCAGACUGUGAAGUCCAGGAGGUGGAAGGAGACAAGGGAGGAGGCUGCUGUCUACAGAGAUAAUGACCAUAAUCACUUGAUGCAUCACGCUGCCACUGUGUGUCUGUCCCUGCCUGCAGCCCCACGACUAAGUCUGGAAAGGCAGGGCUGCCUGGUUCUGCCUGGGCCUGCCAGACAGGAGCUGUGCAGUGUGGGAUGAGUGAGCAGAGCCUCCAGAUAUAUGAGGUAGGUUGGGAGUACAGUGGAAGUUACCCAAGGAUGGCUAUGAAGGAGGAAACAGCUGAACUGAACUUGGAAGGAAAGUUUGUCAGAAGAAAAGGUGAGAGAAGAUAGCAUUAUCAGUAAAGGGGAAGAGACAUCUGAGCACACAUAUUUACGAAAAGCACAUCAGACUUGGGAACUGCCGGAUGUGCUCUCUGGGGACCUAACUGGGAACCACUGUCCUAAGAAGCCAGGAAAGGCCAGAGACUACUGCAGCCCACUGAACCUUUCUGGCUAGGUGACUGCAUGGGAGAAAGACAGUGCUGACCACCUUCAGAAGGCAGCGGUGGGACCCCUUGGCUCACUACUUCAGGCGGCGGGAGAAGGAUCCUGGUUGUCCUUGGGGCUGAAAAAGGAUGGUGAAUCACUUCUGCUUUCCAAAGCACUAGGGCUGUUUGACCACCCAGGAACUGGAACUAGCUGGUUGUUACACCCAAAUCUCUUCGGAUGCUGGGCUCCUAAACGUGUCACUGUGCAGAUGCAGUUGGGAGUAGGCAGGUGAAGAGGUAAAGAAGCCACAAGGGACAAGCCAUCAAGCUCUGGGGCUCAUCUGGCAGGAGGGCUGCCGAGGAAUAGAUCACCAGGUUCUGUCCUCAGUCCCGAGGCCUGGUUCAUUCCCCUGGCUUCAAUUACAUCUCUGCGCUGGUAAAUGCUAGCCCUGCACUUCUCCACUUAGAUGUCUCACGGGAACCUUCGAGUCAACAUGCCUCAACUGAAUUCACUGUCUUCUGCAAAUCCCAUCCUGGCUCAGUGAAAGGCACCACCAUCUUGCUGGUCACCAAGCAAACACCUGGGAGACAUCCCUGCCUCCAUCUCCCUCUCCUGCCAUCAGAUCAAAGGCCCAUCACUUCAGCUUCCUCUGAAAAUCCCUCUCUUCUUCUCUGGCCCCACAAUCAAUCAUCUCUCCCUUGGCCUGCGUUUCCUGCCUGAGGCAUCGAACUCGAGGUCUUCCUGCCUGGAAUCCUCCAAGCUACCUUCCAUUUGGCCACGGCAUAAUCUUAGGAUGCAGGUGUGACCAAGUGCAUGCUUUGAUUAAAACCCUCAGUGACUUCUCUCACCGGUAGGAUAAAGCCACAGCUCUUCCGCAGGGCCUCAGAGGCCCUCCCUCAACAACACUGUCCAUCCUGCCUCUCUUCUGCUCAGUUUUGGCUGUCAAGCUGCUGUGGAAUGUGCCGUGCCUGCUGCCAGGAGGGCCCUCCUGAGGAGUCUGUACUCACAGUCAGCCUCUUGUAAAGCCAUUUCCAGGCAGGAUGGGGGACUUCCCUCAUCCCAGUACUUGUCACAUGCUAAUAUGCUUGUCCAGUUUUGUGUCAGUCUCCCCACUGGACAGCUUCUUCUGGGUGAGAACUUAACUGUGUCACACUUUGGCUGCCAGUAUUUGUAGAAGUGUUUGCUGAAUGAAUAAAUGACUGACUGAAGCAAGUCCUCAGCUUGGAGGAAUCCAGCAA
rnacentral:lncRNA from 1 species